rnacentral:ncRNA from 7 species
UCCCUGAGACCCUAACUUGU